UAGGGAAUCUUCGGCAAUGGGGGGAACCCUGACCGAGCAACGCCGCGUGAGUGAAGAAGGUUUUCGGAUCGUAAAGCUCUGUUGUUAAGGAAGAACGAGUGUGAGAAUGGAAAGUUCAUGCUGUGACGGUACUUAACCAGAAAGGGACGGCUAACUACGUGGCAGCAGCCGCGGUAAUACGUAGGUCCCGAGCGUUGUCCGGAUUUAUUGGGCGUAAAGCGAGCGCAGGCGGUUAGAAAAGUCUGAAGUGAAAGGCAGUGGCUCAACCAUUGUAGGCUUUGGAAACUGUUUAACUUGAGUGCAGAAGGGGAGAGUGGAAUUCCAUGUGUAGCGGUGAAAUGCGUAGAUAUAUGGAGGAACACCGGUGGCGAAAGCGGCUCUCUGGUCUGUAACUGACGCUGAGGCUCGAAAGCGUGGGGAGCGAACAGG
rnacentral:rRNA from 1 species